AACGAACGCUGGCGGCAGGCCUAACACAUGCAAGUCGAGCGGGGUUUUCGGACCUAGCGGCGGACGGGUGAGUAAUGCGUAGGAAGCUACCCGAUAGAGGGGGAUACCAGUUGGAAACGACUGUUAAUACCGCAUAAUGUCUACGGACCAAAGUGUGGGACCUUCGGGCCACAUGCUAUCGGAUGCGCCUACGUGGGAUUAGCUAGUUGGUGAGGUAAUGGCUCACCAAGGCGACGAUCCCUAGCUGGUUUGAGAGGAUGAUCAGCCACACUGGAACUGAGAGACGGUCCAGACUCCUACGGGAGGCAGCAGUGGGGAAUAUUGGACAAUGGGCGCAAGCCUGAUCCAGCCAUGCCGCGUGUGUGAAGAAGGCCUUCGGGUUGUAAAGCACUUUCAGUAGGGAGGAAGCGUUGUGUGUUAAUAGUACACAGCGUUGACGUUACCUACAGAAGAAGUACCGGCUAACUCUGUGCCAGCAGCCGCCGCAGUAA
rnacentral:rRNA from 1 species